AAGUUCAGGGGUGAAAUCCCACAGCCCCAACCUGUGGAACUGCCUUUGAUACUGCCAGGCUUGAGUACGGGAGAGGGUGGCGGAAUCCCAGGUGUAGGAGUGAAAUCCGUAGAUAUCUGGAGGAACACCGGUGGCGAAGGCGGCCACCUGGACGGUAACUGACGUGAGGUGCGAAAGCGUGGGUAGCAAACAGGAUUAGAUACCCUGGUAGUCCACGCUGUAAACGAUGGGUGCUGGGUGCUGGGAUGUAUGUCUCGGUGCCGUAGCUAACGCGAUAAGCACCCCGCCUGGGGAGUACGGUCGCAAGGCUGAAACUCAAAGAAAUUGACGGGGGCCCGCACAAGCGGUGGAGUAUGUGGUUUAAUUCGAUGCAACGCGAAGAACCUUACCCAGGCUUGACAUCUAGGGAACCCUUCGGAAAUGAAGGGGUGCCCUUCGGGGAGCCCUAAGACAGGUGCCGCAUGGCUGUCGUCAGCUCGUGCCGUGAGGUGUUGGGUUAAGUCCCGCAACGAGCGCAACCCCUAUCUUCAGUUGCCAGCAGGUAAGGCUGGGCACUCUGGAGAGACCGCCCCGGUCAACGGGGAGGAAGGUGGGGACGACGUCAAGUCAUCAUGGCCCUUACGCCUGGGGCUACACACGUACUACAAUGGCGCGCACAAAGGGUAGCGAGACCGCGAGGUGGAGCCAAUCCCAAAAAACGCGUCCCAGUCCGGAUUGGAGUCUGCAACUCGACUCCAUGAAGUCGGAAUCGCUAGUAAUUCGAGAUCAGCAUGCUCGGGUGAAUGCGUUCCCGGGCCUUGUACACACCGCCCGUCACACCACGAAAGUCGGUUUUACCCGAAGCCGGUGAGCUAACUCGCAAGAGGAGCAGCCGUCUACGGUAGGGCCGAUGAUUGGGGUGAAGUCGUAACAAGGUAGC
rnacentral:rRNA from 1 species